CCUACGGGUGGCAGCAGUGAGGAAUAUUGGUCAAUGGGCGGAAGCCUGAACCAGCCAAGCCGCGUGAGGGAAGAAGGUACAGCGUAUCGUAAACCUCUUUUGUCAGGGAACAAAGGCGUGGACUAGUCCCCGGAUGAGUGUACCUGAAGAAAAAGCAUCGGCUAACUCCGUGCCAGCAGCCGCGGUAAUACGGAGGAUGCGAGCGUUAUCCGGAUUUAUUGGGUUUAAAGGGUGCGCAGGCGGCCUGUUAAGUCAGCGGUAAAAGCCCGGGCCUCAACCGCAGCUAGCCGUUGACACUGGCGGGCUGGAGUGGGAGAGAAGUACGCGGAAUGCGUGGUGUAGCGGUGAAAUGCUUAGAUAGCGCGCAGAACCCCGAUUGCGAAGGCAGCGUACCGGCUCCACACUGACGCUGAGGCACGAAAGCGUGGGGAUCGAACAGGAUUAGAUACCCUUGUAGUU
rnacentral:rRNA from 1 species